AAUGUUAAAGUUCUUAUUUCAUGGUAUAACUUUGGUAUGCUUGGACCUAGAGUCUUCAAACUUGACAUGAAGGUUGGCCAGGAUUAACAGAUGACCACUGGUCAUUUCAAGGUCAUUCAUUUGAAGGUCAAGGUCACUGUGACCUUCAAUAUAAAAAAUGUUAAAGUUCUUAUAACUUUGGUAUGCUUGGACCUAGAGUCUUGAAACUUGACAUGAAGGUUGGCCAGAACUAGUAAGUAACAACUGGACAUUUCAAGGUCAUUCAUUUGAAGGUCAAGGUCACUGUGACCUUGAAUGUAAAAAUGUUAAAGUUCUUAUUUCAUGUUAUAACUUUGGUAUGCUUGUACCUAGAGUCUUCAAACUUGAAAUAAAGAUUGGCCAGUACUAGAAGAUGACCACUGGUCAUUUCAAUGUCAUUCAUUUGAAGGUCAAGGUCACUGUGACCUUAAAUGUUAAAAUGUUAAAAUUGUUAUAACUUUGGUAUGCUUGGACAUAGAGUCUUCAAACUUGACAUGAAGGUUUGCAAGCACACUUAGAUGACCACUGGUCAUUUCAAGGUCAUUCAUUCUAAGGUCAAGGUCACUGUGACCUUGAAUGUAAAAAUGUUAAAGUUCUUAUAACUUUGGUAGGUAAAAAUGUUAAAGUUCUUAUUCCAUGUUAUAACUUUGGUAUGCUUGUACCUAGAGUCUUCAAACUUGACAUAAAGGUUGGCCAGUACUAGAAGAUCACCACUGCUCAUUUCAAUGUCAUUCAUUUGAAGGUCAAGGUCACUGUGACCUUCAAUGUUAAAAUGUUAAAAUUGUUAUAACUUUGGUAUGCUUGGACCUAGAAUCUCAAACUUGACGUAAAGGUUUGCAAGCACACUUAGAUGACCACUGGUCAUUUCAAGGUCAUUCAUUUCAAUGUCAUUCAUUUGAAGGUCAAGGUCACUGUGAACUUAAAUGUUAAAAUGUUAAAAUUGUUGUAACUUUGGUAUGCUUGGACCUAGAAUCUCAAACUUGACGUAAAGGUUUGCAAGCACACUUAGAUGACCACUGGUCAUUUCAAGGUCAUUCAUUUGAAGGUCGAGGUCACUGUGACCUUGGAUGUAAAUAUGUUAAAGUUGUUAAUACUUUGGUAUGCUUAGACCUAGAGUCUUCAAACUUGAUAUGAAGGUUGGCCAGAACUAGUAGAUGACCACUGGUCAUUUUAAGGUCAAGGUCACCGUGACCUUGAAUGUAAAAAUGUUAAAA